rnacentral:lncRNA from 1 species
UUGGAAGUUUUGAACUUGAUACCGUUGUACGCGUCCUCUUGAAGGAAUGACGUUGGCUUUGUUCGUAGGAACUGUUGUCUUGCGUAGAAACGAACCGAAGUCUAUUCCAAAAGCGAGUUGAGCUUGUCGAGAUGUUAUGGCAUUGUGUUUGGACUCUUGCCAGAACCGUGCGAUAGAGUCGGCGAUGGUGGUGACAUUGACGGAAGUUCGGCGGUGUUGACACGGUCGGAGGGAGCUCGUCGAAUGGGAUUCGUGUCAACAAAGCUUAUUGUGGAGAGUUGGCAAUAACGACGAUGGCUGGAGUUGAGGCGGAGAAGAGGACGUGAAUUGUUGAAGAUGGAAAAAGGUGAUGGUGGAUGUUGUGGUGACAGAGAGUAGUGUUUCGUCGGUGGUGUGAAGUGAGGCGAACGGAGAUCUGUGAUAAUGGAGGGUUCGGUGGUCGGAGUUGUUGUAGCGGUUUCAUCGUCG